rnacentral:rRNA from 1 species
GAUGAACGCUGGCGGCGUGCCUAAUACAUGCAAGUCGAGCGAAUGGAUUAAGAGCUUGCUCUUAUGAAGUUAGCGGCGGACGGGUGAGUAACACGUGGGUAACCUGCCCAUAAGACUGGGAUAACUCCGGGAAACCGGGGCUAAUACCGGAUAACAUUUUGAACCGCAUGGUUCGAAAUUGAAAGGCGGCUUCGGCUGUCACUUAUGGAUGGACCCGCGUCGCAUUAGCUAGUUGGUGAGGACCGGCUCACCAAGGCAACGAUGCGUAGCCGACCUGAGAGGGUGAUCGGCCACACUGGGACUGAGACACGGCCCAGACUCCUACGGGAGGCAGCAGUAGGGAAUCUUCCGCAAUGGACGAAAGUCUGACGGAGCAACGCCGCGUGAGUGAUGAAGGCUUUCGGGUCGUAAAACUCUGUUGUUAGGGAAGAACAAGUGCUAGUUGAAUAAGCUGGCACCUUGACGGUACCUAACCAGAAAGCCACGGCUAACUACGUGCCAGCCGCCGCGGUAA